UUUAAAUGUAAAUUUAUAUACUAAAUUAAUAAUAGUUAUGUUCUUUAAAUUUAAAGAUUUUGGCGGUAUUUUAGUCUAUUCAGAGGAACCUGUUCUAUAAUUGAUAAUCCACGAUUAAUUAAAUUUAAAUUAUUAAUUUGUAUAUCGUCGUUAAUAAAUAAUUUUAAAAGAAUUGAUAAUUUUUAAAAGUUUAUAUAAAAAAGUAAAUCAGAUCAAGGUGCAGUUUAUAUUUAAAAAGAAAUGGGUUACAAUAAAUUUAUUUAUAUGGAUAUUUAUAUGAAAUUAUAUGUUGAAGGUGGAUUUGAUUGUAAUAAAAUUUAAUUAAAUUUUAUGAUUUUAGCUCUAAAAUAUGU
rnacentral:rRNA from 1 species